rnacentral:lncRNA from 1 species
AUUAUGAAAAAAACGUUCAGACUCAUCAACAUGAUCAAAAUUGCUGACAUUUUCGUCAUCGCACCAAAAACACUUCGGGGGACACUCUAAGAAUCUCAUAGAAACAUGUGAAUUGUGCAUGUGCGUCGUAUAUGGUGUCUGGUGACAAGGUGUGAGGAAUAGAAUGCCUCCUGAGUGUGUUGAGUUCGCAGAAACUGCGUUUGAUAGAAAGGGCAUGACUGCAAUGCUUCCAAUUUGAUGCCACAUUGAAAAGUACAGUGCAGGUGGGAUUUGUGUGAACAGAAUGUAAGCAACGAAAAUCCAACGGACGCGUUCGGACUUCCAAACGCCUGUCAUGCCUCCCUCUCUUUUUCCGAAUUUUGACGUCACAUGCAUUUCACUCACGAGGCAGGCUAACCCGAUACCAGACAGUGCGAGAAUAAAUGGCAGAGUCGGCAUCAUAAAACGAAGUUCUUUAUGUUCAACAAUGCUGUGACCGAUGACGAUACAACAGAGAGCGAUGAACGAAGUAAAGGUAUUAUUAUUGCUUCUCACAAAUAACGCCAACGCCGCUAACGGCAAAUACACCGACGCGACCGUGGGUAAACCUUGUGUUAAGUACCAGUGCCACGGGUGAACACCAUAGCGAACACUGCCUCCGUUCAGAAAAUUGAACUUGAAA